rnacentral:tRNA from 1 species
AGCUAAUGAACUUGUUAAGUAUAUACUUUGAAAGUAUAACAAAGAGAAAAAACUCUCUAUUAGCUU